UACGAAGGGUGCAAGCGUUACUCGGAAUUACUGGGCGUAAAGCGUGCGUAGGUGGUCGUUUAAGUCCGUUGUGAAAGCCCUGGGCUCAACUUGGGAACUGCAGUGGAUACUGGGCGACUAGAGUGUGGUAGAGGGUAGCGGAAUUCCUGGUGUAGCAGUGAAGUGCGUAGAGAUCAGGAGGAACAUCCAUGGCGAAGGCAGCUACCUGGACCAACACUGACACUGAGGCACGAAAGCGUGGGGAGCAAACAGG
rnacentral:rRNA from 1 species